rnacentral:piRNA from 1 species
UCAGACUUUAUCUGGAAUCUGGGGCUGAC